rnacentral:lncRNA from 1 species
UUUCUUUCUUUCUUUCUUUCUUACUUUCUGUCUUUCUUUCUGUCUUUCUUUCUUUGUUUCUGUCUUUUUGUCUUUCUUUCUGUCUUUCUUUCUGUCUUUCUUGUCAAUAAACAAGCAUCAUAGCUGUUUUUCUGUCACUAGAUGGAUAAUAUACAGUAGUCAGACAUUGAACCAUUGGCUUUAGACACAAAAUUAGAUUAACCAAUUUGACUUGUCACUCAACUUCUGUUUGUUGACCUUAGCUAGACUAUAGGGAUAGGGAUAAAUCUAUGUUUUAAAAGCCUACUUUGACUAAAUUCAAGCCAUUUCCUAAUUUAGGGGUAUUUAUCUCUUGGCGUCAGCCAGGGACACUUAGGUAUUGUGGAGCUGAGUUUGUCAAAAUACAUUCCCCCGUGUACCGCCAGUGGAGAGUGACAAGCGUAUUUAAUACACCCUGAUUCGUCUACUGGGUGAACACUUAAAACCAAGGACUCCAGCAGCAUUGGACAACGGUCCAGAACAUGUUGGAGAUGCACUUCUACCGUCCCUGUUGGACUAUAAUGUUCAUUCAAGUUAAGGGCACACAUUCAUCAACGUUAUGGUAAUUUAGGAAGAUUUAGGUCUUGGGUUUGGAAGGGGGGGGGCAUAGAGUCAUUCACAGGUUAAAUGUGAGGUAAAGUAUAACAGUGAGGUACAGUGAGAGGGUUAAAGGUGUAUUGUUCCACAGUUGUAGUCAUACUAGGACUAGGACUAGGACUAGCAGUAGGAGUCACACUGCCGUGUUGUUGGACUUUUCUCUCCCACAUGUGUUCUUUAGACUCUCAGGCCAUGCUAGAUAUCUCCUAGACCAGCACUAGGCUCAGGUUAGAUAUCUCCCAGACCAGCACUAGACUCAGGUUAGAUAUCUCCUAGACUAGCACUAGGCUCAGGUUAGAUAUCUCCCAGACUAGCACUAGGCUCAGGUUAGAUAUCUCCCAGACUAGCACUAGGCUCAGGUUAGAUAUCUCCCAGACUAGCACUAGGCUCAGGUUAGAUAUCUCAUAGACCAGCACUAGGCCCAGGUUAGAUAUCUCCCAGACUAGCACUAGGCUCAGGUUAGAUAUCUCAUAGACGAGCACUAGGCUCAGGUUAGAUAUCUCAUAGACCAGCACUAGGCUCAGGUUAGAUAUCUCAUAGACUAGCACUAGGCUCAGGUUGGAUAUCUCCUAGACCAGCGCUAGGCUCAGGUUAGAUAUCUCCUAGACCAGCACUAGGCUCAGGUUAGAUAUCUCCUGGACCAGCACUAGGCUCAGGUUGGAUAUCUCCUAGACUAGCACUAGGCUCAGGUUAGAUAUCUCCUGUACUAGCACUAGGCUCAGGUUAGAUAUCUCCUGG